rnacentral:rRNA from 1 species
GCGGCUUAMCAUGCAGUCGAGCGGGGAAGGUAGCUUGCUACUGGACCUAGCGGCGGACGGGUGAGUAAUGCUUAGGAAUCUGCCUAUUAGUGGGGGACAACAUCUCGAAAGGGAUGCUAAUACCGCAUACGUCCUACGGGAGAAAGCAGGGGAUCUUCGGACCUUGCGCUAAUAGAUGAGCCUAAGUCGGAUUAGCUAGUUGGUGGGGUAAAGGCCUACCAAGGCGACGAUCUGUAGCGGGUCUGAGAGGAUGAUCCGCCACACUGGGACUGAGACACGGCCCAGACUCCUACGGGAGGCAGCAGUGGGGAAUAUUGGACAAUGGGCGCAAGCCUGAUCCAGCCAUGCCGCGUGUGUGAAGAAGGCCUUAUGGUUGUAAAGCACUUUAAGCGAGGAGGAGGCUACUCUAGUUAAUACCUAGGGAUAGUGGACGUUACUCGCAGAAUAAGCACCGGCUAACUCUGUGCCAGCAGCCGCGGUAAUACAGAGGGUGCAAGCGUUAAUCGGAUUUACUGGGCGUAAAGCGCGCGUAGGCGGCUAAUUAAGUCAAAUGUGAAAUCCCCGAGCUUAACUUGGGAAUUGCAUUCGAUACUGGUUAGCUAGAGUGUGGGAGAGGAUGGUAGAAUUCCAGGUGUAGCGGUGAAAUGCGUAGAGAUCUGGAGGAAUACCGAUGGCGAAGGCAGCCAUCUGGCCUAACACUGACGCUGAGGUGCGAAAGCAUGGGGAGCAAACAGGAUUAGAUACCCUGGUAGUCCAUGCCGUAAACGAUGUCUACUAGCCGUUGGGGCCUUUGAGGCUUUAGUGGCGCAGCUAACGCGAUAAGUAGACCGCCUGGGGAGUACGGUCGCAAGACUAAAACUCAAAUGAAUUGACGGGGGCCCGCACAAGCGGUGGAGCAUGUGGUUUAAUUCGAUGCAACGCGAAGAACCUUACCUGGCCUUGACAUAGUAAGAACUUUCCAGAGAUGGAUUGGUGCCUUCGGGAACUUACAUACAGGUGCUGCAUGGCUGUCGUCAGCUCGUGUCGUGAGAUGUUGGGUUAAGUCCCGCAACGAGCGCAACCCUUUUCCUUAUUUGCCAGCGAGUAAUGUCGGGAACUUUAAGGAUACUGCCAGUGACAAACUGGAAGGAAGGNGGGGACGACGUCAAGUCAUCA